UCGUUAAUUCGCAAAAACUAAGAGAAAUACAUAUCUGUUCUUUUUAUCCCAAUUUUUAUUAUUACCUUUUUUCUAUUUCUACAUUUGUUAAUCUACAUAGAAAAUUUAAUUAAACCAAUGUGUAGCAAAAAUACAAUUUAAUCUCAAAACGAUGUAAAAAAUAAUAUUAGGACUGAUUAACAGCGUAUCAAAUUUUAAAAUUGCUCUUCCAUAACAAACGGAAGAUUUGGCUUGUCGCAUUUAAAGUAUAAAAGCUUGAAGAAAGUAUAAUAUAAAUCGUUAACAUUAAAUUCUAUAGAAUUUAUUUCCAAACCUUAAAGCUAGACACGUGUCCCAUGCCUUUUUGUUAUAGAAUAUUCUACUAAUUCCACUAAUUCUUCUUUUUAUUUCUUUCGUCUUCCUAAACAUCUAUACAUUUUAAUGCAAUGCUUUUCUUUCGUUCCUUUGUCAGGAAAAUUCCAUACGAAUUCGUUCUUUUCUCCAAAGUAACACGAAAAUACCAGAAAAUCGCCUCACCUUCCAAACCGAAGCUGUUUUGCAUAACCAACCCCGAUUGGACCGGUUCACGUAACCUGGCUAGUAAAGGAAUGCACCGUGAGAAGAACAGUAUUCUUAUAGCCGUUUUCAGGACAACGAAGACUAAACUUUUAAACUUAGGGCGAAAGGUUCGUAUAAUCAGACUGUGCAUACAAUGGACAUUUUACCUAAACCUUCGCUAUCGUUACGAUAAUAUUUUAUCUUUGAGAAAAAAACGAAUUCAUCUCGUUAUUUUCGCUUUCGUCCUUUCGGAAAUAAUUUUCAAUUUACAUAGCUUGUUGUUUUAUGAUUACAGGAAGGUUUUUGCGUCUGUAAACUAGCUAGGUUUUACAUCAUUGGCAAAUAUUCUUGGGAAUGGAAUUGAAAUUGUGUAACUAAUUCGAAAGGGCUUCUUCGCUGAAAAUAUCUCUUAGGAUAAAUUAUAUAUCGUAAAUAUGUGUCUGAACCAUUAAAAAUUUUUCACUUGCAUUUAUUAUCGAUUUUUAUCGAUUUAUUAUUUAUUUCUUAUCGAUUUUUCGGUUGUGUUCCAUAUAUUUGAGGCAAAUGUAUAGAUAAUGCUAGUGUAAAAACGCCGGAAUUCCGUCGUCUAUAUUUAUUACCGAUAAGCUAUCUACGAUAAAGCAUCCAAAAGCAGGCUCGUCUUAUAUGCAUUCACACUUUCACACUGAUUAAUUUUUUUCUACUCAAUUAACAGUGGUGCUUUUAAGCUUUCAUAUAGAAAUUUUACUAUUUUACUUGAAUACAUACUAUAAUAGUGUAUUAUAACAAUAUUCGAUUCAUACACUACGAGUAAAUUUAAUAAACAAUUACUUGAAAAAAUGAUAAAUUUCGUCUAUAACUCGUGUUAAACCGGUACAGUUCCAAUAUUUUUAGAAUUUCCGUGUCCAUUUAGCACUUUUCAAUUAUUCGAUAAAAUAUAGAUAUAAAUAUCGAUAACAUAAAUACGAUAAAAAUAUUAAGACGAAACAGAAUAAAAUAACCAACAGCGAAAAUGGCCACGUUAAUAUUUACAAUGGUUUCCAUAUAUACUUAUAAGAAAGUUAUUUUACUGCUUACGAAGUAUAAUUAACGAUUUCUUUACGGCAACCGAUUGUAACUUUAUACUUUACAUCCUGACCGGAAAGACUAAGAAUCUGACCGUACGUAAUGCUUGCUAAUAUAUAUGCAUUUGCAGAUAAUCAUAAUCUUCGUCCAAUAAAAGUAAUCGGUUUUAUAAGUUUCACGAGGCAUCAAUGAUAAAGGUCGUGAAUUGUGCAUUGAAAAACUCUUUGUUAAUGAUGAAUCACCAUUAGACUGAGAUACUUUCUCCUAUAUCACGAAUCAAGCUUACGCAUUUUCAUCAAUUUGCACUAAACGAUUUUCACAUGCGUACGUAAAUGAUCAUUUUUUUAAAUAUAUUUUUACAACUUGCUUCAAGUUGUUUAGAAUUUCAAAAUUCUGUUUCUAAUAGUAAUGUCGGACAACCACUGGUGCGCGUCCUGAAUGAACUCAUUAUGCAUAGUACCAGGAGCCCAUACACCAUUUCAAUUCAACAGUGCUGUCUAUUCACGAAAUACUACAGCGUCUGAAGUCGAUUCUAAAAGCCAAAAGGCUUAAGCACGAAUAGGUGCGUCGAAAUAAUAAAUGAAAAAGAUCCAUCUGCAAGAAGAGAAGUCUUCGACGGUAGAUAUAUUCGACGUGAAUUGAGGAAGUUCAAAUGCAGACAGACGGGACACGAUGUCAAGAUUUUUGACAGGGGCACGAAACAGCGGGGUGCACGUGUGGAUCGAAACCAGACUCCGUGAUAAUAAACUACAAAUACUAUUUUUAUAAAGGAGUCGUUACACAUGUAUCAACCGAACUGAAAUAUGCUGGGAACUUUCCUGACAACCUAUCCUAAUUUUCUCUUAUAGGAAGAAUUAACAAUAAGUACAAAAAAAUUUAAAGUUGCUAAAUCCAUUUUAUGAAAAAUAUUUCAAAUAAGAAUCUUUUGUUCGCUUAUGAUAUAUAUCAAAUAAUUUUUCAAGCUAAUAAUGCUUCGCUUUAAUAUGCUGUAUGAUUAAUAAUAUGCUUACGACAUAGAGUAAAUUCGAAUAAUACAGAACAUAUCAGGUACAUAUUUUAACACGGGUUCUUUAUUUAAAAUAAAAUCCUAACAUCGAAAAUAUUUUAUCACCGCGGUUCCACGUUUCCGGCAAGUCCUUCCGUCUUUUAACAGCGACACAGCCAUACGUUAAGGAAAUAUUGUUAUCACGUCGAAAUCCACGAUGUUUCAUGUUAUCGUGCUAUCGUCGGAUAAGAUUUUCUUUGUGCUUUUUCUUACAAAUUCAAAAUAACGUUAAAUAUAACUUUUUAAUAAAUGAAAUUAAAAAUUGUGUUUUUUCAA